rnacentral:tRNA from 1 species
GGCCUGAUGGUCUAGUAGUAUGAUUCCUUGUUAGGGCGCCCAUUCGCAAUUUCGAGGAGGUCCCGGGUUCAAUUCCCGGUCAGGCCC